AGUGUCUACUUUUUGAGAGGAGGGAUUGAGCAAACUGUUCACUCACUAUGCACUUCCCAUCAAAACGGCAGGCUUCAGUUCUCUGUGCUCUCUGAGAGAAUAUAACCAUGUAGAAAGUCUAGUCUGUAUGUGGAAUAUCUGUUAGGAAGAAAUUCUACUUGGAAAGCUUGUCUGCUCUAUUAACCCAUCCCUGUUGCUCCCUUGAAAGAGGAGGGCCUUCACUGUCCACUGUAAGAUGAAGGUCUUCUGUGGCUCUGACGGCUUAUGUUUAGAGACCUUUCUUCAGUGUCCCCAAGGAGUUUCUAGAGGGGCAAUUCAUGAGAGAUAGACUCCGUAACUUGAGUCCGCAAAUUUCAAAAUGUGGAAAAAGCAUUUUAUCAAUGCCAUAGGAAGAGACUGCUUUUACCUAAGAAGAAAGCUUUCAUGGUAUUUGUCAAAUACCAGAACAGCGAGGGUACAGCUGUUUCUAACAGUUCCUUAUGAAUCUUUUGCAUGGUACUGUACACACUUGGACCAGUGACUACUUAAGAUGAAAUGCAACCCAGUGGAAUGCAUCUGAGAAAGAAAGAUAGCAAUGAGUACUUGAGGAUGCCUGCUACUAAUGUGCCAUGGACCCUCUAGUGCAAUGACAAAAGUGAAAACAUAAAAUGUCGACCUCUGUACCAAUGUGUGGUUAGCGCCGGCACAGCACUGUCGCCCUAGGAUGCCCUGAAUAAACCAUUGUUGUGGCUUCCCUGACAGACAGCUUGUCGGCAAAUGAUCAGUAUUGGCCAUGAUUUCGGGCUAAUUUCAUGGAUGUUUUCCAGUUUCCGUGAUCUUCCAUUCCCAUUUUCUAAACAAAAGUGCUUCUGAAAAUUUCUGUUUAACAUCUUUCACUUUGAAUAAAGAGAACACA
rnacentral:lncRNA from 1 species